GACGAACGCUGGCGGCGUGCCUAAUACAUGCAAGUUGAGCGCUGAAGGUUGGUACUUGUCCCAACUGGAUGAGCAGCGAACGGGUGAGUAACGCGUGGGGAAUCUGCCUUUGAGCGGGGGACAACAUUUGGAAACGAAUGCUAAUACCGCAUAAAAACUUUAAACACAAGUUUUAAGUUUGAAAGAUGCAAUUGCAUCACUCAAAGAUGAUCCCGCGUUGUAUUAGCUAGUUGGUGAGGUAAAGGCUCACCAAGGCGAUGAUACAUAGCCGACCUGAGAGGGUGAUCGGCCACAUUGGGACUGAGACACGGCCCAAACGCCUACGGGAGGCAGCAGGAGGGAAUCUUCGGCAAUGGACGAAAGUCUGACCGAGCAACGCCGCGUGAGUGAAGAAGGGUGUCGGAUCGUAAAACUCUGUUGGUAGAGAAGAACGUUGGUGAGAGUGGAAAGCUCAUCAAGUGACGGUAACUACCCAGAAAGGGACGGCUAACUACGUG
rnacentral:rRNA from 1 species